UUCACUCUUUUCAGCCUCACUGGAUAACUUCAUAGUGGACUCAGAAGUCUGCAACAAGUGGCCCCAACGUGGGGCAAUUGGGAGCCUGAAAGAGUGGCUUUCCCUGGUGAGGAGCCCUUGACCCAGGUGGGCUGCCUGGCCAGCAGCUGUGAUGAGGAGCGCUCCACCCGCCUGAAACAAGAUGGGAAAUGGAGUCACUGAAAACUUUGAGAAAUGUGCCUGGAUACCGGAGAAAAAUGUCAGAGCGUGUGUAACAACUCACAGCUCGAAUGCAGAGUAUGAGAAUUCAGGGGAAGCGCAGAAGGAGCCAAACGAGUCGCCUUCCUACAUAGAGGUCAAGUGAAAGCUCCCUCUCGUCAAGUGAUAAAAGACUCCUGAACUUGUAUUUUUAGCAAUGGUAGCUUUACUUUCUGCUCAAGUUUGUAAUGUACAGAAUGGUCAGCACUGGACUUCUUUUUCCUUUUCCACCCUGGUUGCAACCUAUCACAGAUAUGGACAAAUUGGGACUAUAUAUAUACUAAUAACACCUGUAUAUUCAGAAGACAAGAAGAUCCCUAUCUCUAGGACAAAGUCGAUGUUAUGAUUACCCUCAGAUCUCUAGCAUCCAGGACACUUACAUGUUUUUCAGAAUUUAGCAACAAUAUUGAAUCAUGUCUUUUCUUUCUUACAUCAUUUGUUAAUACCUAUUUGUCUAAUGGAUAUGUAAAUUUUAUUCAAUCUAAUACUAUUUUUGAAUUGGAAUGUUAUUUGUGUCAGUUGUACUCUCAAACAAUGUAUUGAUCAUAAUGACUAUGUUGUACUUUUGGUAAAACAAUAAUCAUUUAUUAUUUUCCCUACUAAUAUUUCACAUGAACAGUUCCAGAACUCUGGAAAACGUGCUCCUAAAAUUAGUAUUUCCUCCUUAAGUCAAUCGAAACAAUUUAUUGGUCUCCUUAUUAUUGGUUCAAUCAUUGUUGCUUCUUUUAUUGUAUCUACUACUAUUUUAUCUAUUGUGCUUCAAUUUAAAUUUUAAACUGCAUAAAUUGUAUAUUACUUACCAGUGUUUAAUACUUAAAGCUUAAGAAGCAACUGAGUUAUUGCAUAAAGUCAAUUUAUUAGAGCAAUCAGCAUUGUAAGUUAGAUCUCUUGAAAAGAAGAUUGCUAUUGCAAUGUGAUUAUAGAAUAUUUACAUUACCCUGCUCCCUAUGAUGCUUCAUGAGACAAGAGACUUACCCACCUAUUGAGGGCAUGGCACAAUUCUAAUAUUAC